ACGCCAUUCUGCCUCAACCUUCCGAGUAGUUGGAGCUACAGGCGUCCGCCACCACGCCCGGCUAAUUUUUUUGGAUUUUUAGUGGAGACGGGGUUUCACUGUGUUAGCUAGGAUGGUCUCGAUCUCCUGACCUCGUCAUCUGCCCGCCUCGGCCUCCCAAAGUACUGGGAUUACAGAAAGAGCCAGAGCCAGAUGGCAACAGGAGUGAGAAAGGUAGAAGAUGAAUGAUUGAGGAUGAAAAUUCCCUCAAGAGAUUUUAUUUGACCAACAUCAAUUCAAUGAAAGCUGUGAUUAAGAGGUUUCACACGGAUGGAGCUGGAAGCCAUUAUCCUCAGCAAACUAACACAGGAACAGAAAACCAAAUAGCGCAUCUUCUCACUUACAAGUGGGAGCUGAACAACGAGAACACAUGGACACAGGGAGGGAAAAAGCACACACCGGGGACUCUCAGGGGAGGGCAGGGGAAGGAAGAGCAUCAUGAUAAACAGCUAAUGCAUGCAUGGCUUAAUACCUAGGGGAUGUGUUGAUAGGUGCAGCCAACUACCAUGGCACACGUUUACCUAUGUAACAAACCUGCACAUCCUGCACAUGUACCCCGAACUUAAAUUUAAUUAAAAAAUAAAAAAGAAAAAA
rnacentral:lncRNA from 1 species